rnacentral:rRNA from 1 species
GCCCAACCGUAAACUUUCACUCACACCUAAAUCGCCAGGGAACUACGAGCUAAGCUUAAAACCCAAAGGACUUGACGGUACCCCACAUCCCCCUAGAGGAGCCUGUUCUGUAAUCGAUGAUCCACGUUUAACCUCACCAUUUUUAGUUAAUCAGCCUGUAUACUUCCGUCGUCAGCUUACCACGUGAGCGCCAAUUAGUGAGCCCAAUGCUACUUCACCAACACGUCAGGUCAAAGUGCAGCAAAUGAAAUGGGAAGAAAUGGGCUACACUUUCUAUAUUAGAAAAAACGAAAAACUAUCCAUGAAACCUAGUUAGAAGGCGGAUUUAGCAGUAAAAAAGAAUCAACAUGUCCUUUUUAACCCGGCACUGGGGUGUGU